AGCGAACAGGAUUAGAUACCCUGGUAGUCCACGCCGUAAACGGUGGAUGCUGGAUGUGGGGCCCUUUCCACGGGUCCCGUGUCGGAGCCAACGCGUUAAGCAUCCCGCCUGGGGAGUACGGCCGCAAGGCUAAAACUCAAAGAAAUUGACGGGGGCCCGCACAAGCGGCGGAGCAUGCGGAUUAAUUCGAUGCAACGCGAAGAACCUUACCUGGGCUUGACAUGUGCCGGAUCGCCGUGGAGACACGGUUUCCCUUCGGGGCCGGUUCACAGGUGGUGCAUGGUCGUCGUCAGCUCGUGUCGUGAGAUGUUGGGUUAAGUCCCGCAACGAGCGCAACCCUCGCCGCAUGUUGCCAGCGGGUGAUGCCGGGAACUCAUGUGGGACCGCCGGGGUCAACUCGGAGGAAGGUGGGGAUGACGUCAGAUCAUCAUGCCCCUUACGUCCAGGGCUUCACGCAUGCUACAAUGGCCGGUACAACGCGGUGCGACACGGUGACGUGGGGCGGAUCGCUGAAAACCGGUCUCAGUUCGGAUCGCAGUCUGCAACUCGACUGCGUGAAGGCGGAGUCGCUAGUAAUCGCGGAUCAGCAACGCCGCGGUGAAUGCGUUCCCGGGCCUUGUACACACCGCCCGUCAAGU
rnacentral:rRNA from 1 species